UCCGUAGGUGAACCUGCGGAAGGAUCAUUAAUGUAACCGGACUGGUACGUUCGCCGUAAAACGCAGCGGGUCGGAAAGGGAGAUAUCAUACACCCUGUAUUUAUUUUACCUUUGUUGCUUUGGCGGGCCGCUCUUUUAGGCGUCGGCCCCGGCUGAUCGCGCCCGCCAGAGGACCCAAACUCUUUUAUUAGUGAUGUCUGAGUACUAUAUAAUAGUUAAAACUUUCAACAACGGAUCUCUUGGUUCUGGCAUCGAUGAAGAACGCAGCGAAGUGCGAUAAGUAAUGUGAAUUGCAGAAUUCAGUGAAUCAUCGAAUCUUUGAACGCACGUUGCGCCCGCUGGUAUUCCGGCGGGCAUGCCUGUUCGAGCGUCAUUAUGACCAAUCAAGCUCUGCUUGGCUUUGGGGCCCGCUGUACCGGCGGCUCUUAAAACUAGUGGCGGUGCCGUCUGGCUCUAAGCGUAGUAAUACUUCUCGCUAUAGUGUUUAGGCGUCCACCUGCCAGAACCCCCCAACUUUCUUAGGUUGACCUCGGAUCAGGUAGGGAUACCCGCUGAACUUAAGCAUAUC
rnacentral:rRNA from 1 species